rnacentral:tRNA from 1 species
GCAAUCGUCGCUUAGCUUGGUAGAGCGCCGGAUUGCUAAUCCGGUGUCCAACGGACUCGAGGGUUCGAAUCCCUCCGAUUGCG